AUUGAACGCUGGCGGCAUGCCUUACACAUGCAAGUCGAACGGUAACAGGUCUUCGGAUGCUGACGAGUGGCGAACGGGUGAGUAAUACAUCGGAACGUGCCUAGUAGUGGGGGAUAACUACUCGAAAGAGUGGCUAAUACCGCAUGAGAUCUACGGAUGAAAGCAGGGGAUCGCAAGACCUUGUGCUACUAGAGCGGCCGAUGGCAGAUUAGGUAGUUGGUGGGAUAAAAGCUUACCAAGCCGACGAUCUGUAGCUGGUCUGAGAGGACGAUCAACCACACUGGGACUGAGACACGGCCCAGACGCCUACGGGAGGCAGCAGUGGGGAAUUUUGGAAAAUGGGCGCAAGCCUGAUCCAGCAAUGCCGCGUGCAGGAUGAAGGCCUUCGGGUUGUAAACUGCUUUUGUACGGAACGAAAAGCCCUGGGUUAAUACCCUGGGGUCAUGACGGUACCGUAAGAAUAAGCACCGGCUAACUACGUGCCAGCCGCCGCCGUAA
rnacentral:rRNA from 1 species